UGUGCUCCAAGACAAGGGGUCUGAAGAAAAGAAGAAAUAAUGAUUGUCUUUUGCUAAAAUCAUGUUGUCUCUAUGUUCUGUUUCCAAGUUCAAAACUGCUAACAGUCUAAAUUUCUUGAUGCCACUGUCCUGUUGUAACCAAGCCAAAAGAUAACACUGUUCUAGCUGCAAAAAGUUUCUCUAAACAAAAGGCUGCCUUUGUUCUCUCCCCCCCACUCUCUUCAACUGCUGGCAGUUGGAAAAGAGGAAAGAAAAUGGAGUUUUGAAGGAAUGCAUAUGGGAAUUGCAGACAAAAGAAAAAAAAAAACUAGAAGGAGACACGUAAAAGGAUUUUGGUUGGAGGUUGUUAACAACAACAAAAAGAAAAAUGCUUGAAAAGCACCACAGCUGAAUCUUAAAAUCCCAGACAUGAGAUUUGAUGAAAGGAAUUUUGUUUUGCCAAUCCUGCAAGUGGCAAGGAGUUCCAAAGCACCAGUUUGCAAUUCACCUUGGAAAUUUCCCAGAAGACCAAGAACAGGCUUGCUUGCAAGAUGUGGACUGCAUUUAUGCCAAGCCGUCCUGAUCUUAAAGAUCAACCUCUCCAAAAUGCAGACAUUGAUUUGUACACAGAUGGAGGCAGCUUCAUGUAAGAUGGACAAUGUAAGCUGGCUAUGGAGUAGUGACUGACCAUGAAGUUCUGGUGGUGAAAUCUCUUUCUCCAGGUAUCUCAGCACAGCUUGCAGAGCUCAUCACCUUCAAGGUAAUUUUUACACAACUCAUGGGGCCACUUGGAAAGAAAGAAGAUUUUUAAUAGUGGGAAACAAGGAAGUAAAAUAUGGGACACAGAUAUCAGAACUCUAGACUGCUGUUACACUACUAGAAGAGGUUGCAGUCAUCCAUACCAGAGGUCACCAGAGGGAAAUGACCCAGUGACAAAGGGUAAUUGGAUGGCAGAUGCUGCAGCUAAAACCGCUGCUCCUUCUAUUUCUGUUUCCAAGCAUCUUUGAUUCCUGUGCUAACUAUCUUGGCACAACCCCCCCCCCCACA